rnacentral:rRNA from 1 species
AGGAAAUCUGCCUAUUAGUGGGGGACAACAUCUCGAAAGGGAUGCUAAUACCGCAUACGUCCUACGGGAGAAAGCAGGGGAUCUUCGGACCUUGCGCUAAUAGAUGAGCCUAAGUCGGAUUAGCUAGUUGGUGGGGUAAAGGCCUACCAAGGCGACGAUCUGUAGCGGGUCUGAGAGGAUGAUCCGCCACACUGGGACUGAGACACGGCCCAGACUCCUACGGGAGGCAGCAGUGGGGAAUAUUGGACAAUGGGGGGAACCCUGAUCCAGCCAUGCCGCGUGUGUGAAGAAGGCCUUAUGGUUGUAAAGCACUUUAAGCGAGGAGGAGGCUACUUUAGUUAAUACCUAGAGAUAGUGGACGUUACUCGCAGAAUAAGCACCGGCUAACUCUGUGCCAGCAGCCGCGGUAAUACAGAGGGUGCAAGCGUUAAUCGGAUUUACUGGGCGUAAAGCGCGCGUAGGCGGCUAAUUAAGUCAAAUGUGAAAUCCCCGAGCUUAACUUGGGAAUUGCAUUCGAUACUGGUUAGCUAGAGUGUGGGAGAGGAUGGUAGAAUUCCAGGUGUAGCGGUGAAAUGCGUAGAGAUCUGGAGGAAUACCGAUGGCGAAGGCAGCCAUCUGGCCUAACACUGACGCUGAGGUGCGAAAGCAUGGGGAGCAAACAGGAUUAGAUACCCUGGUAGUCCAUGCCGUAAACGAUGUCUACUAGCCGUUGGGGCCUUUGAGGCUUUAGUGGCGCAGCUAACGCGAUAAGUAGACCGCCUGGGGAGUACGGUCGCAAGACUAAAACUCAAAUGAAUUGACGGGGGCCCGCACAAGCGGGGGAGCAUGUGGUUUAAUUCGAUGCAACGCGAAGAACCUUACCUGGCCUUGACAUAGUAAGAACUUUCCAGAGAUGGAUUGGUGCCUUCGGGAACUUACAUACAGGGGCUGCAUGGCUGUCGUCAGCUCGGGUCGGGAAAUGUUGGGUUAAGUCCCGCAACGAACGCACCCUUUUCCUUAUUUGCCAGGGAGAAUGGCGGGAACUUU